rnacentral:rRNA from 1 species
ACGGGUGAGUAACGCGUGGGAAUCUACCCAUCACUACGGAACAACUCCGGGAAACUGGAGCUAAUACCGUAUACGUCCUUCGGGAGAAAGAUUUAUCGGAGAUGGAUGAGCCCGCGUUGGAUUAGCUAGUUGGUGGGGUAAUGGCCUACCAAGGCGACGAUCCAUAGCUGGUCUGAGAGGAUGAUCAGCCACACUGGGACUGAGACACGGCCCAGACUCCUACGGGAGGCAGCAGUGGGGAAUACUGGACAAUGGGCGAAAGCCUGAUCCAGCCAUGCCGCGUGAGUGAUGAAGGCCCUAGGGUUGUAAAGCUCUUUCAACGGUGAAGAUAAUGACGGUAACCGUAGAAGAAGCCCCGGCUAACUUCGUGCCAGCAGCCGCGGUAAUACGAAGGGGGCUAGCGUUGUUCGGAAUUACUGGGCGUAAAGCGCACGUAGGCGGAUACUUAAGUCAGGGGUGAAAUCCCGGGGCUCAACCCCGGAACUGCCUUUGAUACUGGGUAUCUCGAGUCCGGAAGAGGUGAGUGGAAUUCCGAGUGUAGAGGUGAAAUUCGUAGA